GUGAAAAAUACAGUAUCUAGUGUAACUUUAAAAAAAGAGGAGGGAUACUUCAGAUGUGCUAAACUAACCUUUGGAGGUAAAUUUACAGCAUACUUAUUUAGCCAUUGAUGUCAGUGUCCUUCAGACAAAU
rnacentral:snoRNA from 1 species